UACGAGGGGGGCAAGCGUUGUUCGGAUUUAUUGGGCGUAAAGGGUGCGUAGGCGGUUUGGCAAGUCUUGUGUGAAAUCUUCGGGCUCAACCCGAAGCCUGCAUAAGAAACUGCCGGGCUUGAGUAUGGGAGAGGUGAGUGGAAUUUCCGGUGUAGCGGUGAAAUGCGUAGAUAUCGGAAGGAACACCUGUGGAGAAAGCGGCUCACUGGACCAUAACUGACGCUGAGGCACGAAAGCUAGGGGAGCAAACAGG
rnacentral:rRNA from 1 species